GCGGACUGGAAAAGGAAGAUACAAAUUCAACACAGCAGCCGCAAAACUCAGAUCAUUCAUCCUCUACUCUGGCCGGGUGAUUUGGCCAGAGGACAAGACAGAAAAGAGAUGAUUUGCUUUCUGACUGUGAGGAGCCCGAAAUUUCUUGUGAAAACUAUGGCCUAACCAUGUGACCCUAGAAGACCAUCUGAGGCACAAAGGUGUAUCAGUGCGCACCUCGGGUCCUCCCUCGUAUCCAUCUUAACUGGACACCUGACCUCCAAAAUCACGUGGACACCAACUGGGAGGCCUUCCUGCCUGAGCCAAGCUCCCUCGGCCAGAGCUCUGCCUGUUGGUGAUGCCUCAGCCCAGGACACCCAGCGGAGGUAGGGAGGCAAGCAGGCAGCAUGAAGCUAUGCCGGCAGCAAAAGUCGGCCCUGUGUCCUGAUGCAGGCUGACCCACAUGCAAGGACCCCCAGGGCCAUCACGUCCCUCCUCCAUCAGGCCCUCCAAAGUGACUCCCGGCCCCGGGCGCUGGCGCAGCCUGGUUCCAAUUACAGGCCUCAGGACUUCCGGCUCCUGAUUAGUCAUGGAGUGUGACUUCUGCUGCAAGGAAAAAGGGUCUGGAAGGCUUUAUUCUGCUCCCUGUCAGGUCCUUUUGUUAAGCUGUCCCCUGUUCCCCACCACACACCCCCAAG